rnacentral:rRNA from 1 species
CGCCCUUAGAGUUUGAUCAUGGCUCAGAUUGAACGCUGGCGGCAGGCCUAACACAUGCAAGUCGGACGGUAAGAGAGCUUGCUCUCGACGAGUGGCGGACGGGUGAGUAAUGUCUGGGAAACUGCCCGAUGGAGGGGGAUAACUACUGGAAACGGUAGCUAAUACCGCAUAACGUCGCAAGACCAAAGUGGUUCGUCACACCAUCGGAUGUGCCCAGAUGGGAUUAGCUAGUAGGUGGGGUAACGGCUCACCUAGGCGACGAUCCCUAGCUGGUCUGAGAGGAUGACCAGCCACACUGGAACUGAGACACGGUCCAGACUCCUACGGGAGGCAGCAGUGGGGAAUAUUGCACAAUGGGCGCAAGCCUGAUGCAGCCAUGCCGCGUGUAUGAAGAAGGCCUUCGGGUUGUAAAGUACUUU